AGGACGAACGCUGGCGGCGUGCUUAACACAUGCAAGUCGAGCGGAAAGGCCCUUCGGGGUACUCGAGCGGCGAACGGGUGGGUAACACGUAAGUAAUCUGCCCCUAGCUCUGGGAUAGCUCCGGGAAACCGGGAUUAAUACCGGAUACGACCACUUUAGACAUCUGUUGUGGUGGAAAGAAUUUUGGCUAGGGAUGAGCUCGCGGCCUAUCAGCUUGUUGGUGGGGUAACGGCCUACCAAGGCGACGACGGGUAG
rnacentral:rRNA from 1 species